CCAACACACAGAGGACUAAAGCAGAGACGAUGAACCCAAGUUGAUGCUCAACCCUGCUACCUUUGGCACCCUGGUUGGAAAGCUCUGAGGGCAUGCUGCUUCUGUAUUCUCAGGCAUGCUGUAUGGGCACUGCCAGCCAGCUUCAGAGAUGGGUCCAGGUCCUUUUAGACAUGUUAGUUGAUGCCCAACCUCUAGGGACACAAUUUCUUUCUGCAGUGGAUUCAUGACCUAACCUGGGCAAAUGAGCCUUGAGAGGACAUAUGCUAGAAGCUCAUGGAAAAGAAACUUUCUUGCUUUUCUGAAAAAGCUACUGAGAGAGCCCCUUUACUCUUUCUACAGGAUCUGGAGGAGGAAGCAGGCAGGCCCUGGGUCUACUGGCAACCAUCUUGUGAUCAUGAGUUGAGACUAUAUUACCAGGAAAUGAUCCCUACAGAAGGCAGAGUGCAGAGAGGAAGAAAACAAUCUGAGGACAUUAUUGAGUGCUGUAUUAAGCGCAGCAAAUUACAUGGGCCAAUAAAUACCUUUUCUUUCUUAA
rnacentral:lncRNA from 1 species